AUUGAACGCUGGCGGCAGGCCUAACACAUGCAAGUCGAGCGAGCGGAGGACGGGUGAGUAAUGUAUGGGGAUCUGCCAGAUAGAGGGGUAUAAAGACUGGCAACGGUGUCUAAUCCCGCAAACUAUCGGCUAACCCCAUAUGGGAUUAGCUAGUAGGUGGGGUAAAGGCGCACCUAGGCGACGAUCUCUAGCUGGUCGGAGAGGAUGAUCAGCCACACUGGGACUGAGACACGGCCCAGACUCCUACGGGAGGCAGCAGUGGGGAAUAUUGCACAAUGGGCGCAAGCCUGAUGCAGCCAUGCCGCGUGUAUGAAGAAGGCCUUAGGGUUGUAAAGUACUUUCAGCGGGGAGGCGUUACCCGCAGAAGAAGCACCGGCUAACUCCGUGCCAGCAGCCGCGGUAAUUC
rnacentral:rRNA from 1 species